rnacentral:lncRNA from 1 species
GUGAGGGACCCGGGCCUCAGCGGGCAGUUCGCAGAGGCUUGGAGGGCCAAUCGAUCCCUUGGCAGCUAUGGGAUCCAUCCUGAGCCCGACAGAGGCCCAGCCUGACAUGUCGGCUUGGCGUCCCAACACUGGAGGCAGAGCAGGAGGACCAGGAGGUCAGGGUCAGCCUCCGCUACAUAGUUUCCAGAAAAUGUGAGACCAUGCCUCAAACAAACAAAAAGAGGAAAGAGAAAAAGACCCCCAGAUGUUCUUCUGGUAUGUGGUCUAGGGAAGCCCUCUUGCCAAGCCUGCUGACUGCCCAGGCUCCACCCACACACUGCAAGGAAAACAGAACAAAAGUUUACUUUGUAUCAUUAAAGAUUGGGGCCAGUGAGAGUGCUCAGAAGGUAAAGGUGCUUUCUUCCAAGCCUGACAGCCUGGGUGGCUCCCUGAGACCCAGCUGAGAGACUCAGCUCUAGCUAAUUGUCCUCUGAUUUCCACACACUGAGGAACUGAUAAAGAAAAUGUCACUUAAAUUUUGUUUUAAUUUUUAGAUGUAUUUGUAUUUUCUGUGUAUGAAUGCUUUGCCUGCAUGCCUAAUGCCCUCGGACAUCCGAAGAGAGCAUCGGUCCCCUGGAGCUGUAGUUACAAACAAUUGAGAGC